GACGAACGCUGGCGGCGUGCCUAACACAUGCAAGUUGAGCGACGAACCAGGGCUUGCCCUGGGGCAAAGCAGCGAACGGGUGAGUAACACGUGGGUAACCUACCCCGAUAACCGGGACAACCCGAGGAAACUCGGGCUAAUACCGGAUGUGCCUACUGGACUUCGGUUCAGUGCGUAAAGGAAGCUUCGGCCUCCGUAUCGGGAGGGGCCCGCGGCCCAUUAGUUUGUUGGUGAGGUAACGGCUCACCAAGACCGCGAUGGGUAGCUGGUCUGAGAGGACGAUCAGCCACACUGGGACUGAGACACGGCCCAGACUCCUACGGGAGGCAGCAGUGGGGAAUCUUGCGCAAAGCGCGAAAGCGUGACGCAGCAACGCCGCGUGGGGGAAGAAGGCCUUCGGGUUGUAAACCCCUUUCAGGAGGGACGAAGGUUCGGCGGUGAAUAGCCGUCCGGACUGACGGUACCUCCACAAGAAGCCCCGGCUAACUACGUG
rnacentral:rRNA from 1 species